CAGUUAUGAGGAUAGUGAUAAAUUUCAUACUUUCUGGGCCAAAAUGUAUAUAUAUUCAGAUUAAUAUUCUCAUAUGUGCAAUUUUACUAAAUUCAGAGAAACAAACCUUUAUAAAAAUCUGGCUAGCACCUUUCUAAUUUUUUCCAUUGUUCAGAACAAUGGGAAUAAAUCCAAAGGACUGUCAAGUAUGAGUUUGGUAAUGAAUCACUGAUAUUGAAUCACUGUAGUUCAACCAAGUAAAUUGAUUUCAUUCUAGAACAUUAAAAAUGCUUAAAAACCUAUACCUCUGUCUUCCUAAUGUAUAAAUGAGCCUAACAGUACUUGCCUUUUCUCUCUACCCACAGAAUCAGCGUUAAAAGACUAUAUAAAUCUCUUUGAGAGCUUGAAAAAGUAUGCUUUAUAGUCAUGGUAACUAUUAUUUCUGGACUUAAACCUUU
rnacentral:lncRNA from 1 species